CAGCAGCCGCGGGAAUACGGAGGGUGCAAGCGUUAAUCGGAAUUACUGGGCGUAAAGCGCACGCAGGCGGUCUGUCAAGUCAGAUGUGAAAUCCCCGGGCUUAACCUGGGAACUGCAUUUGAAACUGGCAGGCUAGAGUCUUGUAGAGGGGGGUAGAAUUCCAGGUGUAGCGGUGAAAUGCGUAGAGAUCUGGAGGAAUACCGGUGGCGAAGGCGGCCCCCUGGACAAAGACUGACGCUCAGGUGCGAAAGCGUGGGGAGCAAACAGGAUUAGAGACCCGCGUAGUCCCUGUCUCUUAUAA
rnacentral:rRNA from 1 species